AAUUGAAAUCAUCUACAAGCUUCGAUAAUGGAAAUAAUCCUAGUUAGUAUUAAACGUUGGACUUUAGUCUUUGCUAUCCUUUACAUUUGUCUAAUCCUGACAAACUUUGGAAAUGCUGAUGAGGAUGUGCAAGAGAUCCAGCCAGGUGGUGGGUUUGGUGGUUCUGGGUCUGGAGUUGGUGGUGGUAAUGGUGUUGGAGCGGGUGGUGAUGGUGGUGGUGGUGCAGCUGGAGGUGGUGGUGGUGCUGGGUUUGGUGAUCCUACUCAAAUUGUCUCCAAUGCUUUGCUAUGUUUCAAUGAUAAAUAUGUGAGUAUCAUCGCCACAAACACUUCACAAUAAUCAUAUAAUCACCAUGCAUCUAUUAUUUCCAUGUUAC
rnacentral:lncRNA from 1 species